rnacentral:rRNA from 1 species
CCUACGGGAGGCAGCAGUGGGGAAUAUUGGACAAUGGGGGCAACCCUGAUCCAGCCAUGCCGCGUGUGUGAAGAAGGCCCUCGGGUUGUAAAGCACUUUCAGUGAGGAAGAACGCCUGGUGGUUAAUACCCAUCAGGAAAGACAUCACUCACAGAAGAAGCACCGGCUAACUCCGUGCCAGCAGCCGCGGUAAUACGGAGGGUGCGAGCGUUAAUCGGAAUUACUGGGCGUAAAGCGCGCGUAGGUGGCUUGAUAAGCCGGUUGUGAAAGCCCGGGGCUCAACCUGGGAACGGCAUCCGGAACUGUCAAGCUAGAGUGCAGGAGAGGAAGGUAGAAUUCCCGGUGUAGCGGUGAAAUGCGUAGAGAUCGGGAGGAAUACCAGUGGCGAAGGCGGCCUUCUGGACUGACACUGACACUGAGGUGCGAAAGCGUGGGUAGCAAACAGGAUUAGAUACCCUAGUAGUC